rnacentral:lncRNA from 1 species
AAACUGUCAUGAGAUCUGCAUAUUUUAGAUAGAGGCUGCUUGCCUUAUUUGGGCACCUAAUGAAAAAGACAUGGAGGCCAGGUGCGGUGGCUCAUGUCUGUAAUCCCAGCACUUUGGGAGGCCAAGGCGAGUGGAUCACCUGAGGUCAGGAGUUCGAGACCAGCCUGACCAACAUGGCAAAACCCCGUCUGUACUAAAAGUGCAAACACAAAGGGAACUGCGUGGCUUGUUUCUACCUGAACAUUGUCAAGUGAUUUCAUCCUUUGAAACACAGUUGUGAAGUGUGUCCAGCAGUCUGAGAACAAGAAGAAGAAGAAAAUCUAAUCCUUCAGGGUGUCUGUGUGCCAGCCCUGCUCUCAGCACUUCCCAUGUGGAACUCCUUUACUUCUCCUAACAACUCCAUGACAUGGGUUAGACUGUGAUUGUUCCCAUAUUGUUGGUAGGGAAACUGAGGCAUGCAGGUGUUACAGAGCUCUCUCAAGUGGCAAGCUUUCUGGGUGGUUACAGAGUGGCAGAGCUGGGGUAUCCCAUGAUGUCACCACACUGCUAUAUGGAAAAGAACAUUAAUCGAGCACCUACGUGCUUGAUUCUCUUAAUUCUGUGACUGAACUCUCAAAACACCCUGGAGCACUGCGUGUUUUGAAAUAUACAAAUAGUGGGAAACGAAAUCUUUGUUCUGGAUGCAGUUAUAAUUUGGAAAGCGAGGAAAUAAAUUAUAACAAGGGGAAAAAACAG